UCGAGCCGUAUGAAGGGAAACUCUCACGUACAGUUUGUUUUUUUGGGGGGAAGGAGCCCGACAGGGUCCCCCCACUGACUUGGCCUGGGCCUAAGUGAAAGUGAAGUGGUGGGCCUACCCAUU
rnacentral:ncRNA from 1 species